UCGUCAAAAACAGCUAACUGGUUAAACAUCGUUCCAUGCGUUGGUAGUUUACGAAGUGGGGCGAAAUCGCGGGCAAAAUUCUCUAGUUCUUGCUAUUUCUAAAUGUGGCUCGACGUCGAGUCCCCGCGCCAUUCCACCCUCAUGCCACUCGGAAAGGAUCUAGCGAACCGGGACGCGCGUCCUUGCCACAAAUUCUUUAAUUUGCGGUUUUCCGUUCGUUUAAGCUUCUUCUUUUUUGGGAACGUCGAGAUUCUCCUAGGAUUCUUAUCAAGAGCACUGCAACAGUGUAUGUGUGUGUGUAAAUACAAUGAAACAGGUCGCAUUCACUGAUCUUAAGCUUUUUGAAAUUGCAUCGUACUGUAUUUAGAUCGAGUAAUAAAUUCAUUGAGCAGAGCAUGCGCGUUAGAAAAGAACGCCACGAAAUUGGAAACAAUGUCGUGUUAGGUACUGUCGUUCCUUUGAAAUCAAGCAAUAAUU
rnacentral:misc_RNA from 1 species